ACCCCCAGGCAACGGGCAAGGAGACACCUUGGUGGUGCUGCUCCUAUAUCAGUCAGGGGCAGAGCAGAUGGCCGUCCUUUGUUCAUCCUAGCUUGAUGCCUGGCUUGGUGACCAAAGCUGGAUUAUGCCUAGGACACAUAA
ensembl:snoRNA LOC120095435 small nucleolar RNA SNORA48